CCUACGGGAGGCAGCAGUGGGGAAUAUUGGGCAAUGGACGCAAGUCUGACCCAGCAACGCCGCGUGAAGGAAGAAGGCUUUCGGGUUGUAAACUUCUUUUAAGGGGGAAGAGCAGAAGACGGUACCCCUUGAAUGAGCCACGGCUAACUACGUGCCAGCAGCCGCGGUAAUACGUAGGUGGCCAGCGUUGUACGGAUUUACUGGGUUAAAAGGACGUGCAGCCGGGUAGACAAGUCAGAUGUGAAAUCCAGGGGCUCAACCCGUGAACUGCAUUUGAAACUGUUUUCCGUGAGUGUCGGAGAGGUAAGCGGAAUUCCUUGUGUAGCGGUGAAAUGCGUAGAUAUAAGGAAGAACACCAGUGGCGAAGGCGGAUUACUGGACGAUAACUGACGGUGAGGCGCGAAAGCGUGGGGAGCAAACAGGAUUAGAUACCCGGGUAGUC
rnacentral:rRNA from 1 species